CCAAUCCCCUGGCUAGCCGCUGCGAGCUCGGCGUGGGCGCCCUCCGCUUCCAAGCCCCUCGGCGAAGCGCCUCCUCCGUCCUCCCACGGCGUCCCUACCCGUGGCCCUGCGCCGGCGUCGACGCGUCUCGCAACGGCAUGGUUGACUGCCCGCCGCUGCUUCUACCGGCCGCGCGGGUCGCCGCCGCCGUUCAAUACCCCUGCUGCACCUCUCGCAGCAGCUUCAACCCGGGCCGUUCCCCCUUCUCCGUUUGUUUCAGCCGCCGCCGCCGGAGCUCUGUUCCUGUGCAAUCUGCAUCCGCUGGGACUGGAAACGAAUCAAGUGUUGCAGAUGAACCGGAGGCUGUCGAAUGGGCUAUGCAGGAUUUUUACGCUUUGCGGAAGGAGGUUGAGUUGGCUAUAGAGCGUGUCAGUGAAGUCAGGCAGUCUGCAGGUUUGGAACAGCUUAUGGAGGAGAUCGCUUCGCUUGAGAAGAAGUCAGCAGAUAGUUCUUUGUGGGAUGAUCCUUCCAAGGCACAGGGGAUACUAGUUUCUCUGACUGAGGUCAAAGACAGAGUCAAGCUUCUCAACGAUUUUAAGUCACAGGUUGAAGAAGCAGAGAUCAUUGUGAAGCUUACUGAAGAAUUAGAUUCCAUAGAUACUGGUCUUCUUGAGGAGGCCUCAAAGAUUAUAAAGUCAUUAAAUAAGGCAAUAGAUAACUUUGAGAUGACACAGCUUCUUUCUGGACCAUAUGACAAGGAAGGUGCUGUAAUUAAUAUUUCUGCUGGUGCUGGUGGCACUGACGCUCAGGAUUGGGCUGACAUGUUACUAAGGAUGUAUGUAAGGUGGGGAGAGAAGCAGCGUUACAAGACGAGUAGUUGAGAAAUCACCUGGUGAAGAGGCUGGUAUAAAAUCAGCAACAGUUGAACUAGAGGGAAGAUAUGCCUAUGGCUAUCUCUCUGGUGAGAAAGGAACACACAGGAUUGUCCGUCAGUCACCAUUUAACGCUAAAGGGCUUCGGCAGACACGCUUUGUUGGUGUUGAGGUUAUACCUCUUCUACCGGAGGAAUCCAUGGCUGUGGAAAUACCUGAAGAGGACCUGGAGAUAAGCUUCACAAGAGCUGGAGGUAAAGGAGGCCAGAAUGUGAAUAAGGUGGAAACGGCUGUUCGCAUGGUCCAUAUUCCUACUGGCAUUGCAGUUCGUUGCUCAGAGGAGAGGAGUCAGCUGGCCAACAAAAUAAAGGCUCUCAGUCGGCUUAAAGCGAAGCUGCUGGUGAUCGCGGAGGAACAACGUGCAUCGGAGAUCAAGCAGAUCCGUGGCGACAUGGUGAAGGCGGAAUGGGGGCAGCAAAUACGCAACUACGUCUUCCACCCGUACAAGCUCGUCAAGGACGUCCGGACGGGGUGCGAAACUUCGGACAUCGCUGGCGUCAUGGAUGGUGAACUCGACCCCUUUGUCAAAGCGUACCUCAGAUCUGAAUUGAACGGUGAGAGGAACAACCUAACAGGAAGCCAAGCGCAGUUUGCUCCCGUGCUAGCAUUCAAAGAGUUCAAGUUAUCUGAGUUGGAGGUCGCUACAAAUAACUUUGCACCUGAAAACAUCAUUGGCCGGGGUGGUCAUUCUACUGUCUACAAGGGUGUAUUAAACGAUGGAAAUGUGGUUUCCAUCAAGCCAUUUUUAAAGUCACCUGUCUUGAGCUGGGCACGCUCUUAUGAUAUUCAUCUUCUUAUUUCAAAGCUUCAGAACAAAAACGUAGUGAAAAUUAUGGGAUAUGUCGCCCCUGAAGUCCAAACUCCAUCAUUUUCAUGGGUGUCGUGGUUUUUUAAAUGGAAAGAACAUCCAGUUACAGAAAGGGAAUGUUUUUGGGUUGAAGAAUACGUGCCGAAUGGAAGCUUGGAUAAGAUUAUCUAUGAGCGUCAACUUGAUUGGCCCACUCUUUCCCGGAUAAUUGGUGGUGUAGCCCAGGGCAUGCAUUGCCUACAUGAACAAGGCAUUGUCCAUAUGGAUAUGAAACCAAGCAAUAUCCUCUUGGAUUCUGACAUGAAUCCUAAGAUUGUUGAUUUUGGAAUAUCACAAGUGUUGAAUGACAAUCAGGUCACCCGUGAUAAUAAGCUGGUUACUUCAGACAACGGGUUAAGUGAUAACGAGCGGAUACACAGUGAUCAUAUUUUAAGAGGCACGAUGGCAUAUAUAGCUCCAGAAUAUCUAGCAGAUGGUGCUGUGUUAAAGAAGAAUGAUGUCUACGCUUUUGGCAUCACCCUCCUUGAGACUGUUGGCAGUAUUCGCAUGUUUAAACCACCUGGGGAAUGCCGUUUAGAUGAAUGGGCUUCUGCUUGGGAAGAUGGAGUGAUUGAGGGGUUAUUUGAUUCAAUGCUGUAUGACCAGUCUCAGCUAACGGAGAUCAAGAGGUGCGUAGAGGUAGGAUUGCUGUGCGCUCAGCGUGAUCCAGCAAACCGCCCCAUCAUGGCAGAUGUUCUUCAGAUGCUAUGUGGUCCCAAAAGAUUCCGCGGUAUUUGCAGAUGUCCAUCAGAAGACCGGCUGCUCCCAAUUCUACAUGUGCUCCCAGCCUCCUUCUGCCCUGUCAGACGUGUUAAGCCCCAGAUGAGAUACAAGGAUGAGGGAGAAUAAACUCUGCUCGCCCUGCCUUGUUCUACCUGGGGAGCCGGGAGAUUUCCUGCGUGCACUGGAUAGACAUAUCAUGUGUGUGUGUGUGAUUGUUCAUCUCUAAACUGAACUACUCAGUGUGCAUAUGUGGGGUGGUCAUAUGGGAAUGACUAUAGUAAGAAGAAACCAUGAAUGUUGUAUUUGGAGCAUAGCAGCGUGGCAUUACUUUUCAACUCGGCUAUGUGGUUUAUGCAGUCAGAAUUGUGUUUUAUUGUUCUUCGUUCUAUGAAUCCCAGUUUGUUGUUAUGCUGA